AAGUCGUAACAAGGUCUCCGUAGGUGAACCUGCGGAGGGAUCAUUAACACGUUUUAACAACGUACCCACCAAAACAAUGGAAACAUGAGCGGGGAGAGAGGAAUAGGAAGUAAUAUUCUUAUGACUCCCUCCCAGCGCAGUUCUCUCCCUCCUAACAUCAUGUUCAUUCAUGUUGAUUUGGAGGCUCUUCCCUUCUGUUGACCCCUUUCCAACUUCAAUGCCUGGCCGCUGUUGACUUUGUUGACAGUUGUUUGUAUUGUUCUGUUCUGACCUGUAUUCUAUCUUGCUUGUGUAGCUUGGCUUGCCUUGCUACCAAAGCUUGCUAGUUGAUAUUUAAUGCAAAGCACAACUCUUAGCAACGGAUAUCUUGGUUCUC
rnacentral:misc_RNA from 1 species